ACACAUUGGACAUUGGUAAGCCCAAGCCCGUACAGCCAGUUCAAUAAUAAAAGACCCUAACAGGUAUGGUUUCCUAAUUUGUUCCUCACUCACUUUCCACUUUCUCCUCUUCCUUACUUCUUCUUCUCUGCACGCUGCUUGAGAAUGUUCUCCAUGGUGUUCUUCAAUGCUGACUUUUUGUUCCUUCUUCUUUGGGUAUUCAACAUCCUUCACGAAUUGGUGAUGAAGAGUGCUGAGAUCUUUAGCUCUCAAAGGUUUAUGUUCCACUACUUUUGGUUUUCUCCGUCCUUCUCUUUUAAUAGGCUGAUUCUUUCUUUCUUGUAGGUGUAAUUUUCGGUAUGAUUUCUUGUCGAGCUCAAUAGAGAGCGUGAGCCUUGCAUUCAGCUUUGAAUUUCCGUGUAAGAACCCUUUCUCCUCCUUAUUCUUCUUCUUUCUUUCCUUCUUCAAACUUCUGACCUUUGUUGUUUUCCAGUUGCAGCCGAAUAGGAGUGACUCAAGGAACUCCCGUGCUUCUUCACCUCGAUUUCUCUGUUGGAUGCUCGUUUUGGAUUCAGAUACAACUCCUAGACUCUCACCUUUUGCUAGUCCAUGUACCACUGUUUGCUGGCUGAAAUAGCUUAGGAUUAGUUCCUUUACAGCUUUUUUGUUCCAGAAGUAGAUAGCAUCUAAAUUGUACAUAUCAUAGCUGUGGAACCCUGUAACUUCUAUGUUGUAUCUAAGCAUGAUGACCAUUGUUGUUGCUGUAAAUUCUCCUUGUUUUUAUCCUGACUGAAGGGACCUGAUGUUUAUCAAUGUUAAGAAUAUGUUUACCUUGCCUUGGUAGCUGAUUAAAGCUCUGAAAAAUUAGCUUCUGCUCUGUAUUGAUUGUUGUAUUAGUUAUAAAAUCUGCUAAUUGAUUCGCCUCUCUAAAUACAUGCCACACCUCUACAUUUAUUUUCUGAUGGAUUUGCUGAAUAUCUUCCACUUUCUCAC
rnacentral:lncRNA from 1 species